rnacentral:rRNA from 1 species
CUCGUGUCGUGAGAUGUUGGGUUAAGUCCCGCAACGAGCGCAACCCCUAUUGUUAGUUGCCAUCAUUCAGUUGGGCACUCUAGCGAGACUGCCGGUAAUAAACCGGAGGAAGGUGGGAUGACGUCAAAUCAUCAUGCCCCUUAUGACCUGGGCUACACACGUGCUACAAUGGUUGGUACAACGAGUUGCGAGUCGGUGACGGCGAGCUAAUCUCUUAAAGCCAAUCUCAGUUCGGAUUGUAGGCUGCAACUCGCCUACAUGAAGUCGGAAUCGCUAGUAAUCGCGGAUCAGCACGCCGCGGUGAAUACGUUCCCGGGCCUU